UGUAGGCGUAUACCAAAGUUGUUGCAGUUAAAACGCUCGUAGUCGGAAUUUGGCAGUUCCGGAAGUGUGCACGUCGUGUGCGCACUUUGCGGGGACUGCUUUUGUGGUCUUGCGUAGGAUGAGGCACUUUCAUUAGUGAACGUCCUCACGCAACCACUCUUUACUGUGAGAAAAUCAGAGUGCUCAAAGCAGGCAUUUGCCGUGAAUGUAUUAGCAUGGAAUAAUAGAAUAGGACUCGGUUCUAUUUUGUUGGUUUGUUGGGACUGAGUAAUGAUUAAGAGGGACAGUUGAGGGCAUUUGUAUUCCGGCGCUAGAGGUGAAAUUCUUAGAUUGCCGGAAGACAAACUGCUGCGAAAGCGUCUGCCAAGGAUGUUUUCAUUGA
rnacentral:rRNA from 1 species